GACGAACGCUGGCGGCGUGCUUAACACAUGCAAGUCGAACGGAAAGGCCCUGCUUUUGUGGGGCGCUCGAGUGGCGAACGGGUGAGUAACACGUGAGUAACCUGCCCCUGACUUUGGGAUAACUUCAGGAAACUGGGGCUAAUACCGGAUAGGAGCUCUUGCUGCAUGGUGGGGGUUGGAAAGUUUCGGCGGUUGGGGAUGGAUUCGCGGCUUAUCAGCUUGUUGGUGGAGUAGUGGCUUACAAAGGCUUAGAAGGGUAGCCGGCCUGGGAGGGUGACCGGCCACAAUGGGACUGAGAGAGGGCGCAGACUCCUACGGGAGGCAGCAGUCGAAAAUAUUGCGCAAUAGGCGGAAGCCAGAGGCAGCAGCGCCGCGUGCGGGAUGACGGCCUUCGAGUUGUAAACCGCUUUCGCCUGUGACGAAGCGUGAGUGACGGUAAUGGGUAAAGAAGCACCGGCUAACUACGUG
rnacentral:rRNA from 1 species